CCUCUUCCCCUGGAUCGCGUCCAGGCUCAUGCGUUCAACACCCCCGCGCUACAUCGUGUUGCAUUGAUUCCAUCUUCCUCGGCUCCUCACCUCCCAAAAGCAGACCAUCAGUGCCUUCCAAAGCCGUUCCCCUUCCACUUUUCCUACUUUAAUUCCCAUCCAGUCCAGCCUCCCCGCUCCGUCUUCUUGGUUCGCCUGCCACCAGUGCGAGACACCCCCUCCCACGCUCGCGAGUCCAGGCCAAAUCAGCCUCCGCUUCUUAUCCCUUCCGCCGGCCACCACUCCGCUCAUUGCUCUUGCUACUGCUUGGGCGAUUCGAGAGGAAGACGCGAGAGGAAUUGGGCAUGUGGAGGCUGUGUGGGAGAGAGAAGGCAAGGGAUCAUGGCGGUGAUUGUGUCGACAUGAGAUGAGAGGGGAGCAUGAUGCGUUCAUCUCAAGGUCAAAAGACGGCUUCUCCAGGGUCAGGCUGUGGCGUCGGCUGUGUCGACGCGCGCGCGUGAGAGAGAAGCGUGUUGCGGCCAUCUUCAGACUAUUGCUUCCAGUUUGUUCUUUCUUGCAGAUCUGCGGAAAUCAUAACUCAGGCUGUUGUUGACGGAUAUUAGAUUCCGAAUGAGAACAAAGACCUGUUUGUCAAGCCCUUGAGCAAAGAACCAAAGCCCUUUCCAUUUCAUACUCGAUACUAUACUUGGGAAAACGGAUAUGGAUGGUAAGCUGGUGUUGAUACAAUAUAUAGGUGCCAUAAUGUAAACAUGUAGUCAGAAUUUAUUUUCAUAUGUUGGUGGUUCAGAUUACUUCUCUUCUACAAUGGCAUAUUCAAUAGUGGUAAAUUGUACGCAUCAAUAGGUGCAGAACUCACAUAUCAGUUUCAGUGAUAGGGCUUACGUUUGAGUGCCCUGAUCAUAACAAAAAUGAUGGUACAUAUCACAUUUUCUUAGAUUAUCCGAUUCACCCUCAUACAAUUUUUUAAUGCUGCAUAGUGGAUUUUUUUUCUAUUGUUAUGGCAAAAACACGAGGGCCAAUUAAUAUGUUUACACAUCAAGCCGUCAUUGUUUGAUUCAGUAUGAUGUGCAGCUUAUAGUUCACGAAGAAGAUGCUAAAAAGGAGAUUAUGGUUAGUUAGUAAACUUAUUUACCUUUUAUUCUUUGAGAUGUCAACUUAGUUACUUUGAUUUUCAACUUAUUUACUUUGAUUAAGGCAUAGAUAUAAUAACCCAUGCAAUUUUUAAGUGCUUAGUUCGUGCAGUCUAACUCUGAUUUUUUUUUCUAAUUUACUUAUUGCAGAUUACUUCCCUCACACUCAACAAUGUGAAGGUAUAUGGAAAUUUAUUUGAGUUUGUCACAUGUCUUACUGCAAAUAAUGAUGCCGUGCAUCCUUUCAUUCCUUAAUUUCACAACCGUUCCUUUGUACUUCCAUGUGUUUGUGUUCCAUGUAGAUUUAUGGUAAAUAUCAUGUACUAUGGAUUCAUAAAAAGAUUAUUUUACAGUUUUAUCAUUCGUAUGGUUGAUAGCCGAUCACUCAAACAGAGAACAUUGUUCUGAAAAUCCUAAACAAUUUUUCAGGGACAAACAUUAUAAUCAUUAUCGUCUCUUAUGACAAGGAUUUUACUUUGUUGAGCAUUCCCUUGCUAUUUUUGCUCAAUUUAUUUUCUUAAUCACACCGAAAGAGCUCCCUGGUUUCAUAGUUUUACUCAAAUCACAAAGAUAUUGUUGUAACUGGUAUCUAGGAUUCUAGGUACACCCUAGAUCCCGAUACAUUUGUUAAGUUUGUUCUAAUGUUCCCUGAUUUUAGAUAUGCAAAAGUGCUACGUUUGUUCUAAUGUUCCCUGAUACAUUUGUGUCUUUGUGUUUCUGCAAAAUCCUAGAUUUUAUCUGCCAAGUUACUUAACCAUCGAGGAAGGCAAUGCUAUCAUCCACUUGAUGCAACUUCUAUUCUUCCCCCUGAAGGAUCACAUCGGCAAAGAUCUUACUAUCAUGAGAGUAUUGCUGAAUAUGAAUGUCUCAUGACAUUACUUUGUAAUAAAUAAAUUAGUUCCAUGGGUAAUAUUUAUCUAAUCUGAUUGUUCGUCUACCGAACAGAAGUUGAAUGAUAUAACUAGGAGUAUCGACCUUACUUAUGUGCCAUUACAAUGAUGUAAUCUAAAUGAUCUUAUAUUUCUUUACAAAGGGAGUAUUAUUCUAA